UACAGAGGUCUCAAGCGUUGUUCGGAUUCAUUGGGCGUAAAGGGUGCGUAGGCGGCGCGGUAAGUCGGGUGUGAAAUCUUGGAGCUUAACUCCGAAACUGCAUUCGAUACUGCCGUGCUUGAGGACUGGAGAGGAGACUGGAAUUUACGGUGUAGCGGUGAAAUGCGUAGAGAUCUGGAAGAACACCAAAGGCGAAGGCAGCAUUCUGGGAAGUAACUGACGCUCAUGUGCGAAAGCUAGGGGAGCGAACGGG
rnacentral:rRNA from 1 species